rnacentral:rRNA from 1 species
UACGUAGGGUGCAAGCGUUGUCCGGAAUUAUUGGGCGUAAAGAGCUCGUAGGCGGUUUGUCGCGUCUGCUGUGAAAACUCGGGGCUCAACUCCGAGCUUGCAGUGGGUACGGGCAGACUAGAGUGCGGUAGGGGAGACUGGAAUUCCUGGUGUAGCGGUGGAAUGCGCAGAUAUCAGGAGGAACACCGGUGGCGAAGGCGGGUCUCUGGGCAGUAGCUGACGCUGAGGAGCGAAAGCGUGGGUAGCAAACAGG